AUAAUUAAUUAAAGUAUAAAUGAAUUUAUGAGAUAUAACUUGCAUAGUUAUAUAGUAUUCACAAUUAUAAUAUUUUAUAUCUUUUUUUUAAUAAAGCAACAUUAACAAGAUGUGGUUAUAACUUCUAAUAUAUUUAAUCUAUAUUAUUAAAAUUAAUUAAAAAACUAGUUAAGACAUACAUCAAUAACAUUAGUCAUAAACAUAUGUUUAUUUACAUCUAUUACUUGUCAUAUUUGUUUUACCUCUAUGUUUGACAUAAAACAAACUUAGUAAAUUCUAGUAAAAUGAUUUAAAGAAAACUUUCAAUAUGUUAAGCCAUAGAUUAUAAUAGUAUUUAUUCUAAUCAAAUAUGCACUGGGGACUUUUUGUAAAAUAGUACACAUAUUUCACAUAAUUUUCGAAAAAAAAACAUGUACUUGAUCAUUGUUUAUGCCUUUAUUCUGCAAGUGUGCAGUAAUAUAUGAAGUAUAUUGUGAGAAGUUUUGUGGAAUAGUUCUGUCAAGAAAGUAUCCCUAUAUACCUGUUACCUUUAACAUAGGUAGAAUGUUUACCAAUUGUUGAUAAAUUAAAUAAAAUAGAUAGCAUUUUAAAACCAUUUUAAACAAACUAUUAUUUAUAGUUUUAAAUAUUUUUUAAUGUUCCUACACCAUAUGUGUUAUGAUACCACUAUCCUUUAUCAUGGUGUGUACUAUGUAUGUUGGAACCCAAGACACCAAGUUGUACUAACAUACUUUUUUAUCACAGAUAUUUUGUGAUUUUGUUUUUUUUAUUAUUUUGUGGACAACUUUUCUACCAGGAAUUUUGCUCUAAUUUACAAUAAUCUCGUGAUUUUUAAAUGAAAAUCUGACUGGGAACAAAUAGGAAAAUGAGUACAAAAUAUUACUAUUUAAUACAUAAAUACUUAAAAACUAUUGGAAUAUAAUCACUUCCAGUGGCAUAGUCGAGAAGGGGGGGAUUUGGGUGUUUAAAUCCCACCCAUCCCCAUUGUUUUUUUUCCAUGUUUUAACUAAAUAAAUGUAUUCAUAUUAUUGUAUACUUUGUUAUUUUUACUGUAAAACUUGUGAAAUUUUUUUCCAUACUUAUGAAGAUUAGAGAUAUCUCUAAUCUUCUUGGUCAUAAUAUUAGAAAAUGCAUUAUAAGCAAAGUUUAAGAUACACUUGAAUCAUAUAUCUUAAAUAAAUCUUAAAUAACAAAUAACAGGAUUAAAUAAAUUAUGUUAAAUAUGUUUAUAUUGAGCACAUUAUCAUUAGUAAAUAACUUGAAUAAAAAACUUCUAAAACUUGUCCAGACACUAAAUAAUUAUUAUAACAAUUAUUAUUAUAUUGUAUAAAAAUUAUUUAAAUAAUUUAUCACAAUUUUUUAACAAACCAUGGAUUGUGGUUUAUGACUAUUUUAACAAGUGACAACUAAUUACAAUAUCAAUCAUUAAUUUGUUUAUAUUCGUAAAUGUGACUAUUUUUGGGAAAUAAUAAUAUAGCCAGAAGACGCUUUGAAACAAUUAGAAGUGAAACAUGAAAAAUAUGUUUGUUGU